rnacentral:snRNA from 1 species
AUGCUCGCUUCGGCAGCACAUAUACUAAAAUUGGAAUGAUACAAAGAAGACGAGCAUGGCCCCUGUGCAAGGAUGACAUGUAAAUUCGUGAAGCAUUUCAUAUUUUU